rnacentral:rRNA from 1 species
UUAAAAAGCUCGUAGUUGGAUUUCUGUUAGGGUGAGGCGGCCGGCCACUCGUGGUUGUAGCUUGUUAUCACCUUGGCAUCUUGUCACAAUCCGUGAUGGCAUUAACUUGUUAUCGCUGGGGACUGACUCGUUUACUUUGAGAAAAUUAGAGUGUUCAAAGCAGGCUAUCGCCUUGAAUAUAUUAGCAUGGAAUAAUAAUAUAGGACUUUGGUUCUAUUUUGUUGGUUGUUCGAGAACCGAAGUAAUGAUUGAUAGGGACAGUUGGGGGCGUCAGUAUUCUGAAGCGAGAGGUGAAAUUCUUGGACCUUCGGAAGACUAACAACUGCGAAAGCAUUCGCCUAGGAUGUUCUCUUUAAUCAAGAACGAAAGUUGGGGGAUCGAAGACGAUCAGAUACCGUCGUAGUCUCAACUAUAAACUAUGCCA